rnacentral:rRNA from 1 species
GGAUUAGAUACCCUGGUAGUCCACGCUGUAAACGAUGUCAACUAGCCGUUGGGGAUCUUAGUAUCUUUAGUGGCGUAGCUAACGCGCUAAGUUGACCGCCUGGGGAGUACGGUCGCAAGAUUAAAACUCAAAUGAAUUGACGGGGGCCCGCACAAGCGGUGGAGCAUGUGGUUUAAUUCGACGCAACGCGAAGAACCUUACCUGGUCUUGACAUCCUCAGAACUUUCCAGAGAUGGAUUGGUGCCUUCGGGAACUGAGUGACAGGUGCUGCAUGGCUGUCGUCAGCUCGUGCCG